UCUCAGUGUCAUUUAGAUACUAUGCAAAUGUCUAUAUAUUAAUUUGUGUUAAUUUUUAUUGCAGAAUGGAUCUUGUUGGUGAUAUUGAUUGGAUGAUUGAAUGCUUGAAUGGAAGUGAACCCUUUGGAGUUGCUGAUUCCGGAGUUCUGAAAUGCUACAGGGGCUAAAAACCUUUUUACAGUAACUUUUCAGAUAAAUAACUACAUAUUGCAGACUUAGUUUUUAAAAGAGUUAAGAAUUGUUUCACAGUUUUUGAUUUUAAAAUUUUAUUGAUUGAUAGCUCUGUCUGAUUUUAGAUUAAAUAUGUAACAGGCUGCAAAUUACUGAUUUCAUAUUUUGUAAUUAGUCUUUUUAAUGGACUUGAUGUAUUAAUUAUAUCAUAAAUAAUAUGAAUUGACCCA